GGGAAUCCUAGAAACGAAAAGGAAAUGUCAUUUUCCCUCAAGGAAAAAGCACUAAAAUUCUAAAUAAUGUAUCAGAUAUCUUAUUCUUUUGUCCUCGUACAAUUAUGGAGUUAUAUAUAUAUAUUUUAGUUAGAACCUGAUUUUUUUUCCAUUUCAUUAAGCGUGAUUCCAUUUCAUUAAGCGUGAUGUAAAUUACAGUAGUCGUACGUUUAUAUCAUUAACUUCAUUAGUUAGUAGUUUGUAUUAUUGCAAUAAUGCGGUGGGAUAAUAUACUGUCAUGUGUGAGUUGUUGUAGUUUUUUUUUAUAACUUUUUUGUUUCUAAACUGAUUUGGAGUGUUUUGGUCCGUCAGGAGCAUGUGACACGACAUAAGGGACCAUCACUUGGAUAUAGUCUCGACCAUUGAUAUCUAACCACGUCAUCAGAACAGCUGCGUGGAACCCAUUACAUAUCUGACAUCGACGGCUGAGUAUGAGAUUGGGUGGGACUUGGGAGACUGGCAGAGUCCAUAUGAGAGAUUGGGUGGACUACAAAAGUAGGAGAGACUUCGAUGGUCGCAGUUACUUGCGGCUACCGGACGCAACAAAACCGGACCUGAUGCUUUCACCUUCUCUUGUUUCUCUUCUCUCUUCAUUUGUUCGUCUUUUUCUUUAGACUCUCUCUCUAUCAACACACAAACAAAUACAAAAAAAAUAUAUACAUAUAUAAAAUUUGAUUUUGAUUUCUCUACCUUAUUAUUAGGAUAAAGUAUAACUUUCA
rnacentral:lncRNA from 1 species